UACAGAGGGGGCAAGCGUUGUUCGGAAUUACUGGGCGUAAAGGGCGCGUAGGCGGCCUGCUAAGUCGAACGUGAAAUCCCUGGGCUCAACCCAGGAACUGCGUCCGAUACUGGUAGGCUUGAAUCCGGGAGAGGGACGUGGAAUUCCAGGUGUAGCGGUGAAAUGCGUAGAUAUCUGGAGGAACACCGGUGGCGAAGGCGGCGUUCUGGACUGCAACUGACACUGAUGAACGAAAGCCAGGGGAGCAAACGGG
rnacentral:rRNA from 1 species